GGUUCUGGUUGUAGCUACACGCUCUGCUUGGGACUGUUCCUGUCAUCUAAUAAACCUUCUGUUUUAUUGGCUGGCUGAGAGUCACGGUGAAUCCCAGGAAGAGGGGUGCAGGGUCCUGACUCACCCACAGUCCAUGACAGAAGCGGACUGAAGUUCUUAACCUUGAGAUUGAUUUUGAUAAGCUAUAUGAUGAUUACAGCAUUUUACAGAAAAUUAGGGAAGUAAUUUCAAAGGAGCAAAAAGCUGAUCAAAGAUGCUGGAAGUUUUCAAAUAAAUACCACACAUUUUUAAACUUGUAUCUUUGCAUGCUUUCAAUUCCAGUCUCAAAUGAAAAUCUUUUUGCAGUAUGCAGGUUUCUGACUCAACUUGGGAGGAAAGAAAGGAACUGAUUAAGUGAAGCAAAGCUAAGUAUAGGUGCACUAAAGUAUGUCUUGUGAUGACAUUUAUGAAUGUCAGAAAGUCUCCAGAGUUGCUGAAAGCAGCAAGAAAUUAUAGGUUUAAGAAGAAAGAAACCAUGAGCAAAGACAUUCAACUACAGGAGAACCAACUUUUAUAAGGAAAAGGGAAACAACCUGUCUUCCAACUUUAAGAGAGGCAGAAAUAGGAGAGGUAUCCUGAUCUAGGCACUUGGUCAAAAGUGAGGGAAUGAAGAGAUCCUUUCCCAAAAAGGACCCUGCAGCUGGUUAGUACAUCUCAAGAAAUUGAAGGAUGGCCCGCUGCGGGAUUUGCUGAUUCAGAAUAUCGUCACUAGAAUAUAGACUGGUGGGCUGCUCUGAAACUAAAGCUGCCCACCUCCAGCGGAAACUCCAGAGCUGGAGAUUGUGUGGGUAUGAAACAGUCUCUUAGGGACAAAGAAUACCAAACUGGCAAAAAGCAGGGGCCACUCAACCUCUCUUAACAUUUAGACCAAUCUCAGACACCAACACGUGAUAUCCUGAGCCACUACUAUGAGUCAGAACCCUGACAACCAUCAUGGGUGGGGAAAAAAGUAUUUAUCAAAAACACGAGUGACCAAAGUCAGGAAUGCCUUCUCUGAAGACAAAAUCUGGCCACACCUCUCAAGUGUGUGAUAGAUCAGCCAGUAGAACAGCUUGGAAUUCCACCACCACAACCCCCCACCGGAACAUUUGAUAUGUUUUGAAAAAAUGAAA